CAAUAGCGUAUAUUAAAGUUGUUGCGGUAAAAAAGCUCGUAGUUGGAUUUCUACCGAAGAUAGCCGGUCGGGUCUUCGACCUUGUAUCUGGUUUUGUCUUUGGUAUCCUCAUAGGGAACGUUUCUGCGCUUUAUUGCGUGGUGCGGUAUCUAUGACUUUUACUUUGAGGAAAUUAGAGUGUUCACGGCAGGCAAACGCCUUGAAUAUAUUAGCAUGGAAUAAUAACAUAGGAUCUUCGUCCUAUUUUGUUGGUCUCUAGGGCUAAGAUAAUGAUUAAUAGGGAUAAUUGGGGGCAUCUGUAUCAACGCGUCAGAGGUGGAAUUCUUGGAUUGCGUUGCGACAAACUACUGCGAAAGCAUUUGCCAAGGAUGUUUUCAUUGA
rnacentral:rRNA from 1 species